UGGUGGAGUGAUUUGUCUGGUUAAUUCCGAAAACGAACGAGACCCCAGCCUACUAAAUAGUUAUGCUAAUUCUUUCUGAAUUUGUAUUAACUUCUUAGAGGGACUUUUGGUUUUCAAACCAAAUGAAGUUUGGGGCAAUAACA
rnacentral:rRNA from 1 species